rnacentral:sRNA from 1 species
ACUAGGCAUAGUGUUGCAUGCCUGUAAUCCUAGUGGCUUGGAAGUCUGAGGCAGGAGGAUGUGAGUUCAAAGCCAGCCUCAG